rnacentral:rRNA from 1 species
CUACGGGGUGCUGCAGUGGGGAAUAUUGCACAAUGGGGGAAACCCUGAUGCAGCAACGCCGCGUGGAGGAUGACACAUUUCGGUGCGUAAACUCCUUUUAUAGGUCAAGAUAAUGACGGUAGCCUAUGAAUAAGCGCCGGCUAACUCCGUGCCAGCAGCCGCGGUAAUACGGAGGGCGCAAGCGUUACUCGGAAUCACUGGGCGUAAAGAGCAUGUAGGCGGGUUAAUAAGUCAGAAGUGAAAUCCAAUAGCUCAACUAUUGAACUGCUUUUGAAACUGUUAACCUAGAGUGUGGGAGAGGUAGAUGGAAUUUCUGGUGUAGGGGUAAAAUCCGUAGAGAUCAGAAGGAAUACCGAUUGCGAAGGCGAUCUACUGGAACAUUACUGACGCUGAGAUGCGAAAGCGUGGGGAGCAAACAGGAUUAGAUACCCCCGUAGUC